GAUGAACGCUAGCGGCAGGCCUAAUACAUGCAAGUCGAACGGUGUCUUCGGACAUAGUGGCGCACGGGUGCGUAACACGUAUGCAACCUACCUUACAUUGGGGGAUAGCCUUUCGAAAGGGAGAUUAAUACCGCAUAAGACAGUAGCUGGGCAUCCAGCAGCUGUUAAAGAUUUAUCGAUGUAAGCUGGGCAUGCGUCCAAUUAGCUAGUUGGUGAGGUAACGGCUCACCAAGGCAAUGAUUGGUAGGGGAACGGAGAGGUCAAUCCCCUACACCGGCACUGAGGUGCGGGCGUGAUCCCAGCGGGUGGCAGCAGUCAGUAAUAUUAGGCAAUGCACGGAAUUAUGAAGCAGACAUGCCGCGUACAGGAUGAAGCGGUUAUGCGUUGUAAACUUCUUCUAUACAAGAAGAAAAGCCUCUUGCGAGGGUCAUUGAGGAUACUGUAAAAAUAAGCACCGGCUAAAUCCGUGCCAGCCAUCGCAGUAACAC
rnacentral:rRNA from 1 species